GGCCACCUUCGGGGGGCUUCACCAUAGGCAGAGUAAUACUUUGUCGUACAAGCAAACGGAAGACAGAAA
ncrna:unclassified sequences L2-Alphaproteobacteria ribosomal protein leader